rnacentral:rRNA from 1 species
AAUCAACGCUGGCGGCGUGCCUAACACAUGCAAGUCGAACGCGAAAGCCCUUUCGGGGGUAAGUAGAGUGGCGUCCGGGUGAGUAACACGUGGGUAAUCUGCCUUCGGGUGGGGAAUAACUCGCCGAAAGGUGAGCUAAUACCGCAUAAUGCAGCGGCACCAAAUGGUGAAUAGUUGUUAAAGCGGGGGACCCUUCGGGGCCUCGCGCCUGAAGAGGAGCCUGCGGCAGAUUAGCUAGNGGUGAGGUAAUGGCUCACCAAGGCUUCGAUCUGUAGCUGGUCUGAGAGGACGGCCAGCCACACUGGCACUGACACACGGGCCAGACUCCUAC